rnacentral:rRNA from 1 species
CCACAUCCUUAGUUGCCAGCAGUUCGGCUGGGCACUCUAGGGAAACUGCCCGUGAUAAGCGGGAGGAAGGUGUGGAUGACGUCAAGUCCUCAUGGCCCUUACGGGUUGGGCUACACACGUGCUACAAUGGCAUCAACAAUGGGUUAAUCCCCAAAAGAUGUCUCAGUUCGGAUUGGGGUCUGCAACUCGACCCCAUGAAGUCGGAAUCGCUAGUAAUCGCGUAACAGCAUGACGCGGUGAAUACGUUCCCGGGCCUUGUACACACCGCCCGU